rnacentral:rRNA from 1 species
AGUGAACGCUGGCGGUAGGCCUAACACAUGCAAGUCGAACGGCAGCACAGUAAGAGCUUGCUCUUACGGGUGGCGAGUGGCGGACGGGUGAGGAAUACAUCGGAAUCUACUUUUUCGUGGGGGAUAACGUAGGGAAACUUACGCUAAUACCGCAUACGACCUACGGGUGAAAGCAGGGGAUCUUCGGACCUUGCGCGAUUGAAUGAGCCGAUGUCGGAUUAGCUAGUUGGCGGGGUGAAGGCCCACCAAGGCGACGAUCCGUAGCUGGUCUGAGAGGAUGAUCAGCCACACUGGAACUGAGACACGGUCCAGACUCCUACGGGAGGCAGCAGUGGGGAAUAUUGGACAAUGGGCGCAAGCCUGAUCCAGCCAUACCGCGUGGGUGAAGAAGGCCUUCGGGUUGUAAAGCCCUUUUGUUGGGAAAGAAAAGCAGCAGGUUAAUACCCCGCUGUUCUGACGGUACCCAAGGAAUAAGCACCGGCUAACUUCGUG